ensembl:miRNA Gm27468 predicted gene, 27468
CUUUUUUUUUUUUUUUUUUGAGACGGGAUUUCUCUGUAGCCCUGGAUGUCCUGGAACUUGCUCUGUAGACUAGACUGGCCUCAAACUCAAGAGAUUGUCCUGCCUC